UACGGAGGGGGCUAGCGUUGUUCGGAAUUACUGGGCGUAAAGCGCACGUAGGCGGCGCAGCAAGUCAGGGGUGAAAUCCCGGAGCUCAACUCCGGAACUGCCUUUGAAACUGCAGUGCUAGAAUCCUGGAGAGGCGAGUGGAAUUCCGAGUGUAGAGGUGAAAUUCGUAGAUAUUCGGAAGAACACCAGUGGCGAAGGCGGCUCACUGGACUGGUAGUUGACGCUGAGGUGCGAAAGCGUGGGGAGCAAACA
rnacentral:rRNA from 1 species